rnacentral:rRNA from 1 species
GACGAACGCUGGCGGCGUGCUUAACACAUGCGAGUCGAACGGUAAGGCCCUUCGGGGUACACGAGUGGCGAACGGGUGAGUAACACGUGGGUGAUCUGCCCUGCACUUCGGGAUAAGCCUGGGAAACUGGGUCUAAUACCGGAUAGGACUCCGGACUGCAUGGUCUGGGGUGGAAAGCUUUUGCGGUGUGGGAUGGGCCCGCGGCCUAUCAGCUUGUUGGUGGGGUGAUGGCCUACCAAGGCGACGACGGGUAGCCGGCCUGAGAGGGUGACCGGCCACACUGGGGCUGAGAUACGGCCCAGACUCCUACGGGAGGCAGCAGUGGGGAAUAUUGCACAAUGGGCGCAAGCCUGAUGCAGCGACGCCGCGUGAGGGAUGACGGCCUUCGGGUUGUAAACCUCUUUCAGCAUCGACGAAGCGAAAGUGACGGUAGGUGCAGAAGAAGGACCGGCCAACUACGUGCCAGCCGCCGCAGUAA